AGGACGAACGCUGGCGGCGUGCCUAAGACAUGCAAGUCGAACGGUUCGAGCAAUCGGACAGUGGCGAACGGCGGAGUAAUACAUGAGCAACGUGCCCUAAAGACUGGGAUAGUCACUGGAAACGGUGGGUAAUACCAGAUGUGACGGAAAGCUGGCAUCAGCGAUCCAUUAAAUGGUUUUUCGCUUUAGGAGCGGCUCAUGGCCUAUCAGGUAGUUGGUGAGGUAACGGCCACCAAGGCAUCGACGGGUAGCUGGUCUGAGAGGACGAUCAGCCACACUGGGACUGAGACACGGCCCAGACUCCUACGGGAGGCAGCAGUGGGGAAUCUUGCGCAAUGGGCGAAAGCCUGACGCAGCAACGCCGCGUGGAGGACGAAGGCUUUCUGAGUUGUAAACUCCUUUCAGCAGGGACGAUAGUGACGGUACCUGCAGAAGAAGCACCGGCCAACUACGUGCCAGCAGCCGC
rnacentral:rRNA from 1 species